rnacentral:lncRNA from 1 species
CAUUACUGACAACAACUGAGCUCGUGAUUUUAUGAGUUUUAAUUUCACCCCUCUUGACAGGGACGGAUUCAGGAUUUUAAAAUUGGGUGGACUAGAUUUAUUUUAUUGAACUGUUAAAUUUUAGGCUUAUGGAAUUGAUCAUAUGUGUAUAUAUAUAUAUAUAUAUAUACAGAGAGCUUCCAUUGAGGGAUCCCUCAAAUAAGCUUAUUUGAGGGACACCCCUUGUAGGCCCCACUCCGGAUUGUAUUUCACUAAUCCAAACCGUCUAUUUUGUAGAUACUCAUUCAAAG